CUCCGGUUGAUCCUGCCGGACCCGACUGCUAUCGGAUUGAGAUUUAGCCAUGCGAGUCGAACGUUCCCCUGUUGCGGGGAGCGUGGCGUACGGCUCAGUAACACGUAGUCAACCUGCCCUGGAGACAAGGACAACCCCGGGAAACUGGGAUUAAUCCUUGAUAGGUCAUCUCAUCUGGAAGGAGAGAUGGCUUAAAGGGGUACGCGGGCUUCUUCCGCGAAUUCGCUCCAGGAUGGGACUGCGUCCGAUCAGGCUGUUGGCGGGGUAAUGGCCCACCAAACCUGUAACCGGUACGGGCCUUGAGAGAGGUGGCCCGGAGAUGGACACUGAGAGAAGGGUCCAGGUCCUACGGGGCGCAGCAGGCGCGAAACCUUCGCAAUGCGCGAAAGCGUGACGAGGUUAAUCCGAGUGACUCCCGCUGAGGGGGUCUUUUGUCAGCUGUAAAUAGGCAGGCGAAUAAGGGGAGGGCAAGCCUGGUGUCAGCCGCCGCGGUAAUACCAGCUCCUCGAGUGGUCGGGGCGAUUAUUGGGCCUAAAGCAUCCGUAGCCGGUUCCGUAGGUCCUCUGUUAAAUCCAACCGCUCAACGGUUGACCUGCAGAGGAUACCGCGGGACUAGGAGGCGGGAGAGGCGGACGGUACUCCGCGUGUAGGGGUAAAAUCCUUUGAUCCGCGGAAGACCACCAGUGGCGAAGGCGGUCCGCCAGAACGCGCUCGACGGUGAGGGAUGAAAGCUGGGGGAGCGAACCGGAUUAGAUACCCGGGUAGUCCCAGCCGUAAACGAUGCUAGCUAGAUGAUUCAUUCGCAAGUCGCGAAUGAAGUGUUGCAGGGAAGCCGUUAAGCUAGCCGCCUGGGGAGUACGGUCGCAAGACUGAAACUUAAAGGAAUUGGCGGGGGAGCA
rnacentral:rRNA from 1 species